rnacentral:misc_RNA from 1 species
GAUGAAGAACGUAGCGAAAUACGAUAAGUAAUGUGAAUUGCAGAAUUCAGUGAAUCAUCGAAUCUUUGAACGCACCUUGCGCCCUUUGGCCAUUCCGAAGGGCAUGCCUGUUUGAGUAUCAUGAACACCUCAACUCUUUAUGGUUUUCCAUGAUGAGCUUGGACUCUGGGGGUUUUGCUGGCUCACAGUCGGCUCCUCUAAAAUGAAUCAGCUUACCAGUGUUUGGUGGGUAUCAUGGGUGUGAUAACUAUCUACGCUUGUGGUUUUUCCACCAGGUAACCUUCAGCAGUGGAGGUUCGCUGGAGCUCAUAGAUGUCUCUCCUCAGUGAGGACAGCCCUUUGAAUGUUUGAUCUCAAAUCAGGUAGGACUACCCGCUGAACUUAAGCAUAUCAAUAAGCGGAGGA